rnacentral:rRNA from 1 species
UACGUAGGGGGCAAGCGUUGUCCGGAAUCAUUGGGCGUAAAGAGCGUGUAGGCGGCCCGAUAAGUCCGCCGUGAAAGUCCAGGGCUCAACCCUGGAAUGCCGGUGGAAACUGUCGGGCUGGAGUCCGGAAGAGGCGAGUGGAAUUCCCGGUGUAGUGGUGAAAUGCGUAGAGAUCGGGAGGAACACCAGUGGCGAAGGCGGCUCGCUGGGCCGGACCUGACGCGUGAGACGCGAAGGCGUGGGGAGCGAAGCGGGAU